AUAGGGUGCAACCGUGUAGUUAUCAAUUAUGACAAUCUAGAGGUCAUCGAGACAAUGAACAAUGGAGGAGGUCAUGCGAGUGCAGUGGCGGCGAUUUUCGAUGAUUGUUAUCAUCUCGCUUGUGUUUUUUCUAUUUCUAGGUUUGAACAUUGUAAUAGAGAAGCAAAUAAGGUAGCUCACGAACUAGCUAGGUUAGUAAGAUUUUCGGCGACUUAUGAUUGGUUUGAGGAAUCGCUGAAUGAAAUUGUAAAUUUCCUCACAGACGAUGUAUCUAUUUUAUCUAAUGAAUAA
rnacentral:rRNA from 1 species